UCCCCGGGCUCAACCUGGGAACUGCAUUCGAAACUGGCAGGCUUGAGUCUUGUAGAGGGGGGUAGAAUUCCAGGUGUAGCGGUGAAAUGCGUAGAGAUCUGGAGGAAUACCGGUGGCGAAGGCGGCCCCCUGGACAAAGACUGACGCUCAGGUGCGAAAGCGUGGGGAGCAAACAGGAUUAGAUACCCUGGUAGUCCACGCCGUAAACGAUGUCUACUUGGAGGUUGUGCCCUUGAGGCGUGGCUUCCGGAGCUAACGCGUUAAGUAGACCGCCUGGGGAGUACGGCCGCAAGGUUAAAACUCAAAUGAAUUGACGGGGGCCCGCACAAGCGGUGGAGCAUGUGGUUUAAUUCGAUGCAACGCGAAGAACCUUACCUGGUCUUGACAUCCACAGAAGAAUCCAGAGAUGGAUUUGUGCCUUCGGGAACUGUGAGACAGGUGCUGCAUGGCUGUCGUCAGCUCGUGUUGUGAAAUGUUGGGUUAAGUCCCGCAACGAGCGCAAC
rnacentral:rRNA from 3 species